AUUGAACGCUGGCGGCAGGCCUAACACAUGCAAGUCGAGCGGAAGCAGGGGGGUUGGCACCUGGUGGAGAGUGGGGAGGGGGUGUAAAGUAUAUGAAAAUGCGUGCUAGAGGGGGGGAACGCCCGGAAACGGGCGGUAAUAUAGCACACGCGAUGUACGGGAAAGAGCGGGGGCCUCGGAGGCCACGCGAUAAGAGGAGGGGAGGUGUGAUUAGCUAGUUGGUGGGGUAAAGGCCUACCAAGGCGACGAUCCGUAGCUGGUCUGAGAGGACGACCAGCCACACUGGGACUGAGACACGGCCCAGACUCCUACGGGAGGCAGCAGUGGGGAAUAUUGGACAAUGGGCGAAAGCCUGAUCCAGCAAUGCCGCGUGUGUGAAGAAGGCCUUCGGGUUGUAAAGCACUUUUGGCCGGAAAGAAAUCCUUGGCCCUAAUACGGUCGUGUUAUGACGUUACCGGAAGAAUAAGCACCGGCUAACUACGUG
rnacentral:rRNA from 1 species